rnacentral:snRNA from 1 species
GUGCUCACUUUGGCAGCACAUAUACUAAAAUUAGAAUGAUAUAGAGAAGAUUAGCAUGGCCCCUGCAUAAGGCUGACACACAAAUUCGUGAAGCGUUCCCUAUUUUG